CCAACUGUGCCAAGCUUGUGUUUGGUGCGAGGUGGCCUGCGUGCGCGUGGCGUGCAGCGGGCUGAAAAGGAGCCAGUCAGGCUGGGCAGUCUGGCAGUGUGCUAGAGACCAAGGGGCAUGCGUGCGGGGACUGCGGAAUGUGGAGAGGUGCGGAUGGUGGACCAUCGUCUGCGCUGAUCUGCACUCUGUCCGCCGCGUUCGCAUGUCGCUGUCUUGUCGCUGCCAGCACCAACCAGCUCACACCACAUCU
rnacentral:misc_RNA from 1 species